GAUGAACGCUGGCGGCGUGCUUAACACAUGCAAGUCGAACGAUGAAGCCCAGCUUGCUGGGUGGAUUAGUGGCGAACGGGUGAGUAACACGUGAGUAACCUGCCCUUAACUCUGGGAUAAGCCUGGGAAACUGGGUCUAAUACCGGAUAGGAGCGUCCACCGCAUGGUGGGUGUUGGAAAGAUUUAUCGGUUUUGGAUGGACUCGCGGCCUAUCAGCUUGUUGGUGAGGUAAUGGCUCACCAAGGCGACGACGGGUAGCCGGCCUGAGAGGGUGACCGGCCACACUGGGACUGAGACACGGCCCAGACUCCUACGGGAGGCAGCAGUGGGGAAUAUGGCACAAUGGGCGCAAGCCUGAUGCAGCGACGCCGCGUGAGGGAUGACGGCCUUCGGGUUGUAAACCUCUUUCAGUAGGGAAGAAGCGAAAGUGACGGUACCUGCAGAAGAAGCACCGGCUAACUACGU
rnacentral:rRNA from 1 species